rnacentral:rRNA from 1 species
UACGGAGGAUCCAAGCGUUAUCCGGAAUCAUUGGGUUUAAAGGGUCCGUAGGCGGCUUUAUAAGUCAGUGGUGAAAUCUGGCGGCUCAACCGUCAAAUUGCCAUUGAUACUGUAGGGCUUGAAUGUUUGUGAAGUAACUAGAAUAUGUAGUGUAGCGGUGAAAUGCUUAGAUAUUACAUGGAAUACCCAUUGCGAAGGCAGGUUACUAACAAAUGAUUGACGCUGAUGGACGAAAGCGUGGGUAGCGAACAGG